AUGGGUCGCGACAAGUCCCGGAGGCUCUCGGGCAGCCGAGACUUCCGGCAGCGGCUGGUGCUGGCGACGCUGACCUCCACCCCGAUCACCAUCAGGGACAUCCGCGCCGGCGAGGGGGGCCUCUGCCCGCACGAGAUGUCCCUCCUCCGCCUCCUCGACAAGGUCUCGGACCAGCACGUCAUCGACGUCAACGACACAGGGACGAAGGUCGGGUACAAGCCCGGGGUGAUCGUCGGCGGGAAGGGCCUGGAGCACGACUGCGGGGUGCACCGCGGGAUCGGCUACUUCAUCGAGCCGCUCCUUCUGCUCGGCCUCUUCGCCAGGUCGCCCUUGUCCGUUCGGCUCAAAGGAAUCACAAAUGAUACAAAGGACCCUUCUGUGGAUACUUUCCGGAUGGUUACGUUGCAUAUGCUCAAGCACUUUGGCGUUCCUCUUGAGGGGCUGGAGCUCAAAAUCGAAAGCCGGGGAUCUCCUCCUCGUGGUGGUGGUGAAGCAGUUAAUUGGAUUGAUGAAGGAAUGGUAAAGAGGAUAAGAGGUGUAGCAUUCUCAACGAAUGUAUCUCCACAGAUUGUAACCCGUAUCUUCUAUGCUGCACGUGGACUCUUCAAUAAGUUCAUUCCGGAUGUUCAUAUCUUCACCGACAGUAGAGCUGGUGGUUUGUCAGCAGGCUGUGGCGUAUCUGUAGUUGCUGAGACCACAACAGGCUGUCUGAUUUCUGCAGAUGCUACUGUGAGUUAUCCCAAUGUUGAUGAAAUGAGUGAACAAUCUGAGAAGCCUGAGAUAAUGUCUCCAGAGGAUCUUGGUGAGCAAGUUGCAUCGAUGCUGCUAGAAGAGGUGGCUCAAGGAGGAGUUGUUGACUCAACACACCAGGGCCUUCUGUUCAUGCUGUGCGCUCUAUGCCCGCCCGAUGUGUCAAAGGUUCGCGUGGGACAGCUGACACCGCGCGCCAUAGAAUCACUUCGAAACAUCAAGGAGUUCCUUGAUGUCAAGUUCAUCAUCAAGCCCGACCCAAACUCAAACACGGUCACUCUAAAAUGUGUUGGUGCAGGAGUGAAGAAUCUUGCUCGGAAGAUUUCAUAA
rnacentral:rRNA from 1 species